GAUAAUAUAUAUAUAAAUGAAUAAGGAAGCUAUUGUCCAUUUCUACUAUCAGCUUCUUGCAGGUUAUGAGAGGAUAAUAUUCAUUUGUUUCAUUGAUUGCUGGUUGUAUAGAGUUCAAUCCCACAUCUGUAUCUCCAUCUCAGACACUCUA